rnacentral:rRNA from 1 species
AUUGAACGCUGGCGGCAGGCCUAACACAUGCAAGUCGAGCGAGCGGCGGACGGUUGAGUAAUGUCUGGGAAACUGCCUGAUGGAGGGGGAUAACUACUGGAAACGGUAGCUAAUACCGCAUACCAUCAGAUGUGCCCAGAUGUGAUUAGCUAGUAGGUGGGGUAACGGCUCACCUAGGCGACGAUCCCUAGAUGGUCUGAGAGGAUGACCAGCAACACGGGAACUGAGACACGGUCCAGACUCCUACGGGAGGCAGCAGUGGGGAAUAUUGCACAAUGGGCGCAAGCCUGAGGCAGCCAUGCCGCGUGUGUGAAGAAGGCCUUCGGGUGGUAAAGCACUUUCAGCGGGGAGGCGUUACCCGCAGAAGAAGCAACGGCUAACUCCGUGCCAGCAGCCGCGGUAAUUC